rnacentral:tRNA from 1 species
GCAUCCGUAGCUCAGUUGGAUAGAGUACCGGCUACGAACCGAGCGGUUUGAGGUUCGAAUCCUCCCCGGAUGCACCA